GCUAACGGAGUGCCUGUUUUGUGGUGAUAAUACCCACACAUUACGGACUGUCAUCCCAUUACUGCCUGACCUUCACUUUAUUCCCUUUCUAUAAUUUUAUUCCAUCCAGUGCCUGGAAAAUGGGUUUAAUACGUUUAAAAGGAACCUCUAGAUUGUAUCUCACAACAACACAGUGAACGCAGUCACCAAUCGAUCCAUCUAGUGGAGGGGUACAGCCUGCAGGACCGGCCAAUCCAGCCAAUAUACUGUUUCAAACUGCACUGACAACAUCAUCAGUCUACAAAAGAAAACUCAAGAAACAAAGAAAUCGAGUCAGACGAUGCCAGAUGUUGAAAACCUCUUCCUCCAUGGUUUCCAGGAGAGCAAAAAAAAAAUGAAUCAUCAUCACUCCCUCGACCUCAACCCCAGGAUCACAGCAGGAAAGGAUGACAGGAAACAGGACGGACACCCCAGUGAGGUUCUGAGUGAUUGGCGCGUGCACAGUUGUAUUUCUGUUGCAUGUUGCCCAAUCCCCGCAGGGGAAUUCACUGGGAGUGUGCUGUUUGUUUUAAACAUCAGUGCAGACCGACAUCUCGCUGCGGGUCGAUGCGGCUGAUCUGAGGAAACGGAUCAGGGUUUACAAGCUCGGGCAGAGAGGCCGAUCGAUCGACAGCAGAGGCAGCUCCGGCGGGAUCAAUGCUCGUACUAAAAACACAAUGAAACCGUCUUCACCUCAAUGGGAGAGGGGAAAUCUAAUUACCGCUGCCAACAGGGUUUAGGCUUCCUCAUGCGGUCCCCGCUCUGAUCUCUUUCAACAACAGAAGAAUGGAGGUUUUGUGUUAGGCAGCGCGUUCUGAAGCCAUCCCCACGCCGACAGUCUUCAUGUUAUACUCCAUAACCUUAACCUCCAGGUUGUUUGUAGUCCUAUUUCAGAUACUCAUCAUAACUGUAAGAUAGUGACCCACAAACCAGAUGGUGUUUUCUUGGAGCUCAUAGACUGGAUGAAACCUGUGAAUCUCACCCUAAUGACCGCAUGUUAACCUAACCAUCGGACCAUCGUCUGGGUUAAUGACCACCUGUUAACCUGAUGCACGUGACUAGACCAUCACCUGGUUAAUGUCCACGUAGAGUUGUUAACCUACGGGUCUACAACAUACAGGUCUACAACAUACAGGUCUACAACCAUCCCCAUAACGUUGUUGUUGCACGUGGUUUACAAAGGGCUAAAUAAUAAAUAAUCUCUUUGGAAUAAUGUAGUAUUCUGUGUUAUAUGUAUGUAGCAUUUGGUUUGCACUCUACAGGACUAUUAUGGAAAUC